rnacentral:rRNA from 1 species
UGGGGAAUAUUGCACAAUGGGCGCAAGCCUGAUGCAGCAACGCCGCGUGAAGGAAGACGGUUUUCGGAUUGUAAACUUCUGUUCUUAGUGAAGAAGAUGACGGUAGCUAAGGAGCAAGCCACGGCUAACUACGUGCCAGCAGCCGCGGUAAUACGUAGGUGGCAAGCGUUGUCCGGAAUUACUGGGUGUAAAGGGAGCGCAGGCGGGGAAGCAAGUCAGUUGUGAAAUCCAUGGGCUUAACCCGUGAACUGCAGUUGAAAACUGUUCUUCUUGAGUGAAGUAGAGGUUGGCGGAAUUCCGAGUGUAGCGGUGAAAUGCGUAGAUAUUCGGAGGAACACCGGUGGCGAAGGCGGCCAACUGGGCUUUUACUGACGCUGAGGCUCGAAAGUGUGGGGAGCAAACAGGAUUAGAUACCC